UUGGCUGCCUUUCAAUUCCUUCUUCUGUCAUCGCCGAGGUUGCUGGUGGCUCAGUAGCAGCAUCGGGCCAGCGCUAUUGGUGCAGUAUUGAAGCUAGCGGUUGUACUCGUGCUCGUGAUCAAUUCUCAAGGCGACGGUGUCAUUUGAAUCUGGUGGUUUGGUGAAGAGGGUGCUGUGGUGCAUCAUCAUUGAGGCUCCUUCAUUAGCUUUUCCUUUUGUGGACUACAACUCGGUGAGCUGACAAGAGCUGUGGCAAUUAGUUUAAGUGGUGGAGUUGCGGCUGGUUCUUCUUUUGUUUUGCUUCCAGCUCAAGAGGCGGUGGUGUCGCUAGUUGUUGACUGUGAAGCGCUCCAUAAAUCCGGUUGUGACCAAGACUUCGUGGGCUGGCUACUGUAGCACAACUCGGAGUUACUAACAACAUUGUAUGUUUAUAUUUUAAUGUGGUUGGCGCUAGGGUGUAGAAGUCAAGCGUAGAAAUUCUCUCAGCUGUAGUGUAGCGACAACGCUGAACUAUUCCCUUCGUUCUGAGAGAAAAACUCAAGUAUAAGAGAGUGUUGGCAUUGCGGAGGGCAAUGAUAUAGUCGUAUUGUAGUGCCGGUGGUGUUUUCUAUCCUCCAUCGGCUAUCUGAAGAUGUAUUCAGUUGCGAAAAUAAUAAUAAUAAUAAUAAUAAUGCAAGCGGAGCUAGCA
rnacentral:lncRNA from 1 species